GUAAACUACAAUUACUCAUACAUAAUUUAUGUAAACUACAAUCACUCAUACAUAAUCAUUUUCGCUUAUCAAGACAGUCCACAUAAAAAUGCUUGUUACAUGGACAUUGGUGUUUGGUAGAAAUGCUUUAGCCCCUUGCGAUGGAAUAUAAUGAUAGUGUCAUUUCUUUCAGUGAUAGGGGGAAAAAAAAAACAUGACUUGGGGGUAUUCACCAGCGGAAUUUGCCAGGAGGGUUAUAGCAACACCAUCAACAGUUUUAAUUGAAGCCAUUGACAUGUGAGUUAAUGACAUGAUUUGUUAUGAUGUCAUGUUACCUAAGCUAAUUGAUUCCUCUACUUUUCCAUCUAUAACAGGGAUAGAUUACACUUUAUAAUUCUGAACAGGGAAGAAUUUGAAGGUGUAGACAAGGAAAAGGCCACAGUUGUUAGUUACUAAUAGGGAAAUGCAAAUUCGAGUAUGUUUCCAUGGAUCAAUUUGUAAGCUUAUGUUCCCAUUUUUGUUGAAUGACAGCAAUUAGAUUUCCUGAUAUAGACUAAAACUGAGUAAGCACUUCCAAACUAAAAAUGAGGCUCCUUUCUUUGCGGAGACCUCAAUCAAACUAGCUAGUUUUAUCAAGUGCAGUUUCUCAACAUCGUCUCCUAGACAAUCCAUCUUGGAAAAUUAAGAAGAGAUUACAAAGCAAUGUUGCAGUUGCAGGAAAUAUAGAAAAGACUGCAACGGCAGCAAUGAUGAUGACAACAAUGCAGGAUAGAUUGUUCUCCUGUGAAGAGGCCUUAUACCCUACAUUCAAGAGAUGGACACAACUGCAUGCACAAGCCAAUGUGGCUCAUUUAUACAGGAUUCUGGAUGUUCAUCAGAUGGUCCACUUGGCAAACAUGUCCUACUCUUAAAUCACGCCAACCCACUCAUCAGGCAGCAGCAAAUGUGUGUUGAAUGGAGAUUGUUGGUUAUAAUUUCUCCUACACGUCACCCACCUGAUGAAUGGACCAUCCAUAUUUUUGGGCUAAGGAACAUUCAGCAUUAGGACCACCCUAUGAACAUUGCCAAUUCUGCACAUGUGCCACAUUGACAUGCACGGCGCAUCUGAGUUAGAUGUGAAAACAGAAAGAUCACUAUGUUAGGGUGUGUUUUGUUGCACCAAAUUUCUUGCAACAUCAUGAAACUCCUUUUCAACGGGAGAGUUAAUUGUGGUUAUGAAGCCCUGUAACAGGGCUGCUGUGACUGACCCUUGCAAGUCCUCUUUCACUUGGUAUAUCAUAAUUCAUCAGUAGAGCCCCAUGCUAAAUGUUGAUAUGUUUAGUUAUCAAAAACCUCCCUAUACAGGGCACCUAUGUAUGAGACCUGGACCUUUCAUUUGUUGGAACCUACCAUUGUUGGCUCAGAAGUCACACCACUCCUAUCAUCUUAACCACCUAUUGGGCAGUAUUUGGGGACUAUGAUCAGGUGGUUACAACAAGUCCAUUGUGGUCAACAUUCAGCGAGAGGAAGCGUGCCAAUCAAUGGCUGCUAUCAUUUGAAUUUUCGCAUAAGGCCCAUCAACAGUAGGUCCCAAAGUAUAUGAUUCAAAAGCACUUUAAAAAAAA